CCGAAAAGUAUUUUACGGUUGAUCUCAACAACAAGUCAACCAACAUUUCUUUGUCCAGACUGAAACCAGCUUUUCUGCUCAACGACAACCCCAUUCGGCACGACCAUACUUAUGCCAAUUGGGCUAUUACACCCGAAAAGACUGAUUUGAAGAAGACUGUCAGAUUCAAAUUAUAAAUAGUUUUUUCUAUUACUCAUCGUGGCUCCACCACUGGCAGGGGAGUACUGUGGCGGCACUGGAACCACACAGGCGAUUCACGGUUGAUCGUAACCGUAGCCACAACACUUCCCAUGACAAGUGACAGCCCGCCAGAACGACACUAGCGACACCACCUCUCUUGGCGUCGAGCGUCACUCGGUCACACGUGCAUAAUUUUAGUUUUGUAACCGUUUCAAUUUGUUGCGUUAAUAAAGGAGUUUAUGUAAACACAUAAGCAGCUUGACACUGACAGCACCCCGCCGCAAUCCCAUGCGCAGAAGUUGCUUUUCCAUAUACAAACAUACGCAGACGGCGCAGAUUGGUUUGUUACCAAUAAAACUAGCCUUUGUGACGGUCUUUAUCCCCUUCAUUUGUCUAUGGGUGGCCCCGACUACACUGGCCACGCACCGAUGGCAGCCGCGACGACGACUUCGUCGCGACCAACGCACCAAGCACUUCGACGGUCAGUAGCAGCGGUGAGUGGUAGCGACGCCCAACCAACUACUUCGAUGGCUUAAUGAUUCGCCGACGCCAAAUGGUCAUCAGCGAUGCCUAGAAAAACAAUGGUGAAUGGAAAAGUGCUUGUGAUCAGCGCCUCGCCUUCGGGGAAGUGUUCCUGGAUAGAGCUCCUCGUAAGCGCCCACAGGAAGUACUUCAAUGCUCGUGGGCUCAGCACCUCUGUUGAUGGCAUCCCAAGGAGUUCUCGCACGCAGACUCUUGAUGUCUCUUCAACCUCACCAGAGUCUACGAUGAACGGUAUCCCACGGAGUUUCCGUGCUCUUAUCCUUAAUACCUCUUCACCUACGCUGAACGGUAUCCCAAGGAGCUCUUUGCACUCGGACCCUUGAUACCUCUUCAACAUAGUCAACUCAAGCAAGUAGUAUGCAACAAUCAUUUUCACCUGACGUUAACAUUCUGUCACUAAUGCCAUGAUGCUGUCACUAUCGAUACUGCAAAAUUAUGUCGUCGCUAACUUGGAUAAGCAUUAACAAAUCGUCUGUGAUUAAAUGCAACUUUUUCUGCAAAUUCAAAGCAAGCACCACCGGAUCUGUUCAGUCAUCAACCACAUCAUCUCCAGAAGUCAUCUUCAGAAAUUCCAAAGCCAAAAAUUCAAAAACUAAUCAUGCUCUAAUCGUACCGUCUCUGCUCGCUUCACCGUUCCUGCUCUGUGCUCACUUCACCGUUCUUGCUCGCUUCAACGGUACUGAAAGGGGAGUGAUGUGGCGGUUCUUCAGUUUUACGAGAGAUGGCACUGUAGAUUUCUACUUACGACUAUAGCAUUCCUAUUUGUAAAUAAAUAGUCGUAUUGGAAAAUUGCCACAUGGUUCGUUUUAGAACUCAUAUGUAGACAGUUCAGUUCAUAGAACUUCAGUUCACUUCAUAGAACUAAUAGUUCCUCAAUUGUAGUGUGGAGAAUAAAGUGUGCUUCAUUA